GACGAACGCUGGCGGCGUGCUUAACACAUGCAAGUCGAGCGGUAAGGCCCUUUCGGGGGUACACGAGCGGCGAACGGGUGAGUAACACGUGGGUGACCUGCCCUCAGCGUCUGGGAUAAGCCUGGGAAACCGGGUCUAAGUACUGGAUAUGACUCCAUGACGCAUGUUGUGGGGUGGAAAGCCUUGUGCGGCUGAGGAUGGGCCCGCGGCCUAUCAGCUUGUUGGUGGGGNGAUGGCCUACCAAGGCGACGACGGUAGCCGGCCUGAGAGGCGACCGGCCACACUGGGACUGAGACACGGCCCAGAC
rnacentral:rRNA from 1 species